rnacentral:tRNA from 1 species
GCGGGAGUGGCCGAGUCCGGCCAAAGGCGGCGGACUUAAGAUCCGCUCACUCAGGUGUUCGUGGGUUCGAAUCCUACCUCCCGCA